rnacentral:misc_RNA from 1 species
UCAAAAAGAAGAAGGUACAGAACAAGUGUUAAAAAAUUACAUCCAUGUGUCUGAUUGAUGUGUAGUAGUUGGAAAUUUUUAUCUUCAUCUUUUACAUUAUCCAAUGCAAGAAUUAGAAUUUUUGGUAUUUAAAUCUUGUGUAUUGUCAGCAGCAUUUUUGAAGGAAAUGGCUUAUCACAUGAAGGAAGGAAUUUAUGAAGGGUUGGGGUGUUCAAUAAAGAUAGACAAUUGUAAAUGUAUGUAAUGGAGAUGAUGAGUUUGUUGACAGUUAUAAUUUUUAAUUAUCCUUUCAUUACAGGAGUCCCUGUACUCUGACUACCUGAAGCAGAGCGUGGCAGACCAUGAUUUAUGAGAGAGACUUUGUCUCAGUGAAAAGAACUAACUGCAAAAUGUUUGCUCUUGUCUCUAAACUGUUAAGUUAUUUGUGUUCAUUUUCUUAUUAAUUUGAUUUUUUUCUGGAAACAUCUUGAUUUUGUAGAAUAUAUAUUGAAAAUUGUUAGUUUUGAUUAAAGUUAAGUGUUGAUUAAAACAAUGCUCAAAUCUUUUGGGUCACAAAAAAGAGUUGGUUGAAUUUUUGUUCACUUUCAUACAUUACACUUGUGAAUGGAAGAUAUUUAUACUAUGUAUUCUUCAGAUAAUGAUCAUGAUUCAUUUUUUUUUUGAGCAAAUAUGUUUAUGUCACAAACAAAUACUUCUUUGUAUGGACAAGAUAAUCCAUUUUGUGUUAAAGGCAGCUUUGAUAAAAUGGAGUUUAUUUUUGUGGAGUACCAUGAUGUAGAUAAUUUAGAUUAUUUUCAAAUCAUAGAAAAUAUUCUCAGGUGUUUCAUUGUGUUCAAUUGGCAGCUUCAUUACCCAUUAAAUAUAAUGAAAUCAU